AAAAAAAGUAGUGGUGGGGGUGAGGGUGGCGCCCCGGUUUCUGGUGGAACAAGGCCCGGCCCUUAGCCCCUCUGCGCGGGCGAGGGGGCGCAGUUCCCGUGGCCCCCAUGGGGCGGCGCAUGCGCACCUGGUCCGUGCGCCGCCACCCGCCGGGGUCUCUAGGGCUCAGGUACCGCCCCGCCUACCCGUGGCCCUGCACCUGCCGGGUUCUUCUUUCGGACAGACUGACAGAACGAGGGAUGAAAAUCCCCUCAGACCAGCAACCCUGUUGCAGUCUGCAAGCUGUAUCUUUGAAUCCUUAACUCCAUGCAGCCCGGGCUAGACCUAUGGAGUCUGGCUGCCUUACUUAAACCUGCAGGAAAUGGACAGCUUUCCUCCUGCAGGUGGAGACCAGGGACUUGAAUGCUGUGCACUAUUGUUGAUUGCCAUGCACUGCAGUGUGUGUGCUCUACCAGAUGCACCACUGCUCAACCCCCAGAUGACCUCUUGAAAGAUGUUCUCCAAAUGAA